UGGACUUCACAAAGAAUCUUCUAGUCAGAA
rnacentral:piRNA from 1 species